AGUGAACGCUGGCGGCAGGCCUAACACAUGCAAGUCGAACGAAGUCUUCGGACUUAGUGGCGGACGGGUGAGUAACACGUGGGAACGUGCCUUUAGGUUCGGAAUAACUCAGGGAAACCUGUGCUAAUACCGAAUGUGCCCUUCGGGGGAAAGAUUUAUCGCCUUUAGAGCGGCCCGCGUCUGAUUAGCUAGUUGGUGAGGUAAUGGCUCACCAAGGCUACGAUCAGUAGCUGGUCUGAGAGGAUGACCAGCCACAUUGGGACUGAGACACGGCCCAAACUCCUACGGGAGGCGGCAGUGGGGAAUCUUGCGCAAUGGGCGAAAGCCUGACGCAGCCAUGCCGCGUGGAUGAUGAAGGUCUUAGGAUUGUAAAAUCCUUUCACCGGUGAAGAUAAUGACUGUAGCCGGAGAAGAAGCCCCGGCUAACUUCGUGCCAGCCGCCGCGGUAACAC
rnacentral:rRNA from 1 species